rnacentral:rRNA from 1 species
GACGAACGCUGGCGGCGUGCUUAACACAUGCAAGUCGAGCGGUAAGGCCCUUUCGGGGGUACACGAGCGGCGAACGGGUGAGUAACACGUGGGUGACCUGCCCUCAGCCCUGGGAUAAGCCUGGGAAACCGGGUCUAAUACUGGAUAUGACUCCAUGACGCAUGUUGUGGGGUGGAAAGCCUUGUGCGGCUGAGGAUGGGCCCGCGGCCUAUCAGCUUGUUGGUGGGGUGAUGGCCUACCAAGGCGACGACGGGUAGCCGGCCUGAGAGGGCGACCGGCCACACUGGGACUGAGACACGGCCCAGACUCCUACGGGAGGCAGCAGUGGGGAAUCUUGCGCAAUGGGCGAAAGCCUGACGCAGCGACGCCGCGUGAGGGAUGACGGCCUCGG